GAUUUCGGAAUCCCCAAUCCUUCUCCAUCCGAACCAGGAGGGUUUCAAGUGGACACCUACAGGGGUCGGACAUGGUCGGGGCCAACUGAGAGGCCUCCCAGACGGUUCAUUUAUCUCGCCUGGGUUUGCUCAUGGCGCGAAGAGGGUGAGAUGGCGGGCGAAAAAGCCGAGAAGCCGGAUACUAAGGAGAAGAAACCUGAAGCCAAGAAGGUUAAUGCCGGUGGCAAGGCAAAGAAGGGUAACGUGAAGGCUAAAACUAAAACGCCAAAGAAGGGGAAGCCCCACUGCAGCCGAAACCCUGUCCUAGUCAGAGGAAUUGGCAGAUAUUCCCGAUCGGCUAUGUAUUCCAGAAAAGCCAUGUACAAGAGGAAGUAUUCGGCAGCUAAAUCCAGGGUUGAAAAGAAAAAGAAGGAGAAGGUUCUUGCUACCGUUACAAAACCAGUUGGUGGUGACAAGAAUGGUGGUACCCGAGUGGUUAAACUUCGCAAAAUGCCUAGGUAUUAUCCUACUGAAGAUGUGCCUCGCAAGCUGUUGAGCCAUGGCAAAAAACCUUUCAGUCAGCAUGUGAGAAAGUUGCGAGCUAGCAUCACUCCUGGGACCAUUUUGAUCAUCCUCACUGGGCGCCACAGAGGCAAGAGGGUAGUUUUCCUGAAGCAACUGAGCAGUGGCUUGCUACUUGUGACUGGACCUCUGGCCCUCAACCGAGUUCCUCUGCGUAGAACACACCAGAAAUUUGUCAUUGCCACUUCCACUAAAAUUGAUAUAAGCAGCGUGAAAAUCCCCAAACAUCUCACUGAUGCUUAUUUCAAGAAGAAGAAGCUGCGUAAACCCAGACACCAGGAAGGGGAGAUUUUUGACACAGAGAAGGAGGUAAGCUGCUCUUUCUUUGCCUGUGAUAGUUCCAGCUUCCCUGGGUAGGAGUGAAAACAAAGUUAAGAAUUCACAAAGAGAAGUAAAUAGAAUAUCUGGGGAAUCACCUUGUUCAAGGUGGUGCUGCAUUCAGUGGUUUGUGGUUGUUGUUGGUUUUUUGUUUUUUUUUUUUUUAAGAUUUUGUUUACUCAUGAGGCAGGCAGAGACCUAGGCAGAGGGACAAGCAGACUCCCUGUGGGGACCCUGAUGUGGGACUCAAUUCUGGAACCCAGGAUCACAUCCUGAGCUAAAGGCAGAUGCUCAACCACUGAGCCACCCAGGUUCCUCAACAUUCAAAAUACGAGAUUACAGAGCAGCGCAAGGUUGAUCAGAAAGCUGUGGACUCGCAAAUUCUGCCAAAAAUCAAAGCUGUUCCUCAGCUUCAGGGCUACCUCCGCUCUGUGUUUUCUCUCACAAAUGGAGUUUACCCUCACAAAUUGGUGUUCUAAAUUUUUUACAAAGAACCUAAUUAAACAACUGAUCCAUUUC